GAAACUAUCAUUUGCAGUUGAGGUUUGCUCAGUUCCCGUCAUGGACAUAGGUGGCAGCCGAGAGCACUGUGUUGGACUGGAAACAACUGCAUGAUUUCCUCCACAGCAUACAGCAGCUGAGCUGUACUCACUAUUCUGCUGGAGAAGUCACUGUGUACAUAUGCUACACUUUGACCCGCCUUGCCAUUUAAGUGUGCUUUGCUGACCACUGCCUGCCAGAGCUGCCAUUGACACAAGGAGAGUGAGAGCCUGCAGCGAGCCCAGAUUUGAAGAUCCGUGUAUGCAGAGGAUUGCGGCGGAUUCGGUGGACUACUGCGAUGAACUAGAUUUUUUUUCUUUUAAUAAAAUGGCUAACAAAG